rnacentral:rRNA from 1 species
CCUACGGGUGGCAGCAGUGAGGAAUAUUGGUCAAUGGACGCAAGUCUGAACCAGCCAAGCCGCGUGCAGGAAGACGGCCCUAUGAGUUGUAAACUGCUUUUGUACGAGGGUAAAUCCCUACACGUGUAUCGGGCUGCAGGUAACGUGCGAAUAAGGAUCGGCUAACUCCGUGCCAGCAGCCGCGGUAAUACGGAGGGUGCGAGCGUUAUCCGGAUUGAUUGGGGUUAAAGGGUGCGUAGGCGGGACGUCAAGUCAGCGGUAAAAUUGCGGUGCUCAACGGCGUCGCGCCGUUGAAACUGGCGUUCUUGAGUGGGCGAGAGGUAGGCGGAAUGCGUGGUGUAGCGGUGAAAUGCAUAGAUAUCACGCAGAACUCCGAUUGCGAAGGCAGCCUACCGGCGCCCUACUGACGCUGAGGCUCGAAAGUGUGGGUAUCGAACAGGAUUAGAUACCCUGGUAGUC